AGAGUUUGAUCCUGGCUCAGAUUGAACGCUGGCGGCGUGCCUAACACAUGCAAGUCGAGCGGUAACAGGUGUAGCAAUACAUGCUGACGAGCGGCGAACGGGUGAGUAAUGCUUCGGAAUCUACCCAGUAGUGGGGAAUAACUAACCGAAAGGUUAGCUAAUACCGCAUACGUCCUACGGGAGAAAGCGGGGGUCGCAAGACCUCGCGCUAUUGGAUGAGCCGAAGUCGGAUUAGCUAGUUGGUGAGGUAACGGCUCACCAAGGCGACGAUCCGUAGCUGGUCUGAGAGGACGACCAGCCACACUGGAACUGAGACACGGUCCAGACUCCUACGGGAGGCAGCAGUGGGGAAUAUUGGACAAUGGGGGAAACCCUGAUCCAGCGACGCCGCGUGUGUGAAGAAGGCCUGCGGGUUGUAAAGCACUUUUAGUGGGGAUGAAAAGUUCAGGGCUAAUACCCUUGGGCAUUGACCUAACCCACAGAAAAAG
rnacentral:rRNA from 1 species